rnacentral:rRNA from 1 species
AGUGAACGCUGGCGGUAGGCCUAACACAUGCAAGUCGAACGGCAGCACAGUAAGAGCUUGCUCUUACGGGUGGCGAGUGGCGGACGGGUGAGGAAUACAUCGGAAUCUACUUUUUCGUGGGGGAUAACGUAGGGAAACUUACGCUAAUACCGCAUACGACCUACGGGUGAAAGCAGGGGAUCUUCGGACCUUGCGCGAUUGAAUGAGCCGAUGUCGGAUUAGCUAGUUGGCGGGGUAAAGGCCCACCAAGGCGACGAUCCGUAGCUGGUCUGAGAGGAUGAUCAGCCACACUGGAACUGAGACACGGUCCAGACUCCUACGGGAGGCAGCAGUGGGGAAUAUUGGACAAUGGGCGGAAGCCUGAUCCAGCCAUACCGCGUGGGUGAAGAAGGCCUUCGGGUUGUAAAGCCCUUUUGUUGGGAAAGAAAAGCAGCAGGUUAAUACCCCGCUGUUCUGACGGUAACCAAAGAAUAAGCACCGGCUAACUUCGUG